UACGGGGGGGGCAAGCGUUGUUCGGAAUUACUGGGCGUAAAGGGCGCGUAGGCGGUUCGCUAAGUUGGAUGUGAAAACUCUGGGCUUAACCCAGAGCCUGCAUCCAAAACUGGCAAGCUAGAGUUUUGGAGGGGGAAGCGGAAUUCCUGGUGUAGCAGUGAAAUGCGUAGAUAUCAGGAGGAACACCGGUGGCGAAGGCGGCUUCCUGGACAAAAACUGACGCUGAGGCGCGAAAGCUAGGGGAGCAAACAGG
rnacentral:rRNA from 1 species